GAAUUAACGACNGCCCGCUGUUAUGCUACUAACAUGUGGNUANUUGNUUNUUAUGGACUACAACUGGCCGCUCGUUUUACAGCCUAACACAUGCAAGUCGAGACGGCAGCACAAGAUGAAGCUUUACUCUCAUGUGAGGUGGCGAGCUGGCGGACGGGUGAGUAAUGACCUCAGGGAAUCUGCCCAUGUCGAGGGGGAUAACAGGUUUGGAAACGUAUCAUGCUAAUACCGCAUACGCACCUACGGGGUGAAAGAGUGGGUGACUCUUCGGGACCUCUUCGGCGAUUGGAAUGAACCUAAUGUGCGGAUUAGCUAGUUGGUGAGGUAAUAGGCUCACCAANGCGACGAUCCCGUAGCUGUUCUGAGAGGAUGAUCAGCCACACUGGGAACUUGAGACACGGCUCCAGACUCCUACGGGAGGCAGCAGUGGGGAAUAUUGCGACAAUGGGGCGAAACGCCUGAUNCAGCCAUGACCGCGUGUGUGAAGAAGGCCUUCGGGUUUGUAAAGCCACUUUCAGUUAGGGGAGGAAAGUGGUGAUUCUUAAAUUACNGGUCUAUCUGAUGACGUUACCUACAGAAGUAAGGACCGGCUAACUCCGUUGCCAGCAGCCGCGGUAAUACGGAGGGGUCCGAGCGUUACUCGGAAUUACUGGGCGUAAAGCGUGCGCAGGGGGGCUUUAAAGCCACGUUUAAAACCUNGGGUCUCAACNUUGGGAAUAGNCUUUGAAACNUGGGAACACUAAAUUUUGA
rnacentral:rRNA from 1 species